UUUCUCUAACCACACCAGUGACUCUAGGACAACCUGCAACUUGUCCUUUAUAAUGGGCUAUAUGUUGCUUCAAUCUAGUGAUACCCCCUUGAUCACUUUUCCGCAAACAUUACAUUUAAUAUUAUUUCGAUGUUCAGGUACUUGUGUUCCAAAAUGCCAUCCAAUAUCUUCACUUGGAGCGCCCUAUAACUUUUUAGCUGGAAAUUCUUCUCUUGGAGGCAUUAGGAAAAUUUUAUACCGUUUGAAUGCAAAAAAAC
rnacentral:lncRNA from 1 species